UACGUAGGGUGCGAGCGUUUAAUCGGAAUUACUGGGCGUAAAGCGUGCGCAGGCGGUUGUGCAAGACAGGUGUGAAAUCCCCGGGCUUAACCUGGGAACGUGCACUUAUGACUGCGACGGCUGGAGUGCGGCAGAGGGGGAUGGAAUUCCGGCGUGUAGCAGUGAAAUGCGUAGAUAUGCGGAGGAACACCGAUGGCGAAGGCAAUCCCCUGGGCCUGCACUGACGCUCAUGCGAA
rnacentral:rRNA from 1 species